UAUUGAGAAAGAAACCCUUCAGUUUAGCCCUCUAUCGAUUCUCCUUCACACACGACCUGCUUUCUCACAACUCGCUUCGACCGCCGAUUUUGCUUGUUGACAUUCCACCUGCGUCUGCUGCUAACGAAAAUCAUCGAUUACUCCGCGGUCAUCUUUCUCACUAAGGCCUGGAUGGGGGAUUGACUUUGAGGUUGCGACAGGAGAACUGGGAGAAACAUAGCUGCCUAAUCCUUUGAAAAUAGGUGAUUACUUUAAUUCUUAGUUCUUUUUCUGUAUGUUAAUUUAAUUUGUUUUUAGUUGUGGAAAAUAAAUUAAAAACUUAGAAUGAAUUCAAGGACUUACUAAACUCAUUAUAAGUAGCUAACUGCUUUGUUAAUAUCAACUUUAGUUUUUGAUAUUAAAAUCAAUGGGAAUAAGGAAGAGAGAAGUAUUCUCAUAUCGAGACUAUCGUGAUUGUAACUAUAAUCAUGUAACUAUUUUGAGGGGCUGUCAUGGCUUUGAUGUUUUUAUUUGAUUUCCUUAAUACUACUCUCUUUGGUGGCUACAUGAAUUGGUUCUAUUCAUAUUAUUUGCUAUUGUUUCUAUAUUUUAUAGGUAGUCAAUAUUUUGGACAAUAAAAAGUUGGAUCCUUAACUUUAAAAUGUGCAUGCAGAAAGAUAAAUGCAUUAUAGUUUUUUAUGCAUGUAUAGAUAUGUAAAUCAUGAAACAUAAGUCAUUGUUGAAAAAUUCUCGUAUAGACAUUAUUUAUGCUCGAGUAAUUUUCAAUUUUUCUGCUACUAGAUUAGUUGUGUUAAUGGGAUUAAUAGUUGCUUUUUGUAGGAGUUUUAUGUGCAAAUUUGAUAUGGCUGGUUGAUAGCAAAUAAUCGGUAAUGGUGUCUGUUAGCUUAAAUCAUCGCUUCUGGAAUGGCAUUUAGCGGUUAGCUUCUUUGCCGAUGUUUACUAAUGUAGUGUGUUGAUGACUUGGAAGUUCAGUUUAAUUUAUCUUGAAGGUGAAAUAACUUAAAACUUUACCUUUAUAUACACUCAAAAUUCAUUUAUAAGAAGGCUCGUUGUUUUUGUACCAUAUUUGUUGCUUUCCCAUUAAUGAUGUGCAUAGAAGAGUGAAAUGAUGAUCCUUUAGUUGCAGGACAUGUUAUUUUUUUCCCAA